CUGAAGAAGGAUGGACCAACAAGAGAAAAUUUCCCAGGAAAAAGAUUAAGUUGACCAAGAGUGUCAUUAUCUGCCCUUCUUCAAUCCACACUCCCCAUCUCAGGUAUGAACCAUGGGCUGCCCAGCUGGCUCCCACUGCAGCCCGGCAAAGACAGCCUUCCACAAUGGCACAGCAUCAUGGGGCUAAUAAAGAGGGACAAUAUGGACUUGAGCAUGGGGCACAGAAGCGAUGGAGACCACAGAGGAAUAGACACUGCUGUUGUAGAAGAGUGAUAAAAGAAUUGUGGAAGAAAACAAGGCUGGAUGGCCACCACAAUGCCUGGUGAGGUGUGUGGAGCAGAGUAAUGCCAGACCUAUAACAGCUGGAGCCCACCCAAAUGAAUUCCAGUGAGAUCUGCUGAAGCUGUGUUCCUGACCCUCUGAUGUCAUUGAGUCUACAGUCGGAGAAGGAAAGAAGACUGACUAUCCUUGGAGAUUUCCAGUUUCUCAACAAGCCUGCUACUUCAACUUCCCAGACCUAGAUUUCCCAGGGUUUUCGUCCUGGAUCCAGCCAAGGAUACAGAACUCAUUUUUUUCUAGUCUUCCCCUUUGAGGGAAAAGGACUCAAAAGGAUCAUUGAACACUAUUGUAGAAAUGAUGUGUUGCAAAAACCCCUCAAUAUAUAAAGAGGGGAUGGACAAAAGUCUUACAGCUGGUAUUCAGCACUCAAGGACUGUGGUAUCUCAAACUUAUCUUUGGAAAUUACAAACAGCAGUACAUUGGACUUUAAGAGAGGGAAAAAGAAAGGUUCAGAAUUGUGGAGUUAUUCAUACUUCACCCACCAUGAGAACACUUAAUUGUCCUUUGAUUGAUUUAAAAUUAUGAGAAUUGUAAUCUAGUCAAUUAUGAGUCAAUUGUUAAUAAUCAUACUGGGAUUAUUAAUGUUUACAACCUUUGCAAUACCAUGUAAGUGUUAAUGGAUGAAAAAGUCAGAGCUCUUUCUGUUAGGAAUUUGAUGUGAUGCUUAUGAGUCAUUAGAUACAAUGCAAUUAAGAAGGCAGAUUUAGAUUUUGAUACAGCUAAAGCUACUCCAGACAUCCCAGACCAAUUUUAAAAGGCCAUUUUAUUUUGAUCAUCCUUUAUUCCUUUAAUAGGAGAUGUUGUAGCCACAAAAGCAUAUGCAUUGCUUAGCAUUAUCAAGCUUGCUUGUGAACUUUCAAUGAAAAGUUGGCUCAGAGGUGCAUGACAUCAAGCUAUGCACUAUCUCCUAACAUUUUUAUUUACAGAGGCUGGUGGUCAAAGACAGGUGAGAUCUUUUUGCCUCCAGGCGACCUAAGACAGGUCACACAUGACAGACUGUGUGUUCCUAUGACAGGUAAGGCUGGAAGGUGGAAGAAGACAACCUAAGACAGACACUGUCAUCUGUCCUGUAGCAGAAGCACAGGUAUUAUUUAAUUAUAUUAAGAAGGGGAAAUUUGUCAGUGCCCAUAAAGAUAGCUCCACUCCAUCUUUGCUCAAGGGCAGAGAGUUCAAAAAAUGUCCUUAGUAAGUCAUAAGACCUAUAGGUCAAAGACAUGGCUACAGUAGGAUAUUCGAUCUUGGCCUUGGGUGCCUUAUCUUAAUAACAACAGACCUGGUCUGAGGAGUGGUUACUCCUGACCCUCAAAGCAGGUAACAAGAAGUUGAAUCUAAGGUGCAGUUACUGAAUCCUUGAAGAAAUGAGAAACAAAGUCUGUUGAUACCAUGUUCCCCUUUUUGGUUAAGGUGUAUAAGAGUGGUGAAAAAUAAACUCGCAUCAUUCAGUAUUAAUUGAAUCUGCCCUCCUGACAACUAUUCUGUAUCUCCUUUCUCUUAGUGCCUUUAUCUGCCCUUCUUCAAUCCACACUCCCCAUCACAGGUAUGAACCAUAGGCUGCCCGGCUGGCUCCAACUGCACUCUACCCACACUCUACCC
ensembl:lncRNA